rnacentral:misc_RNA from 1 species
GAUGAAGAACGUAGCGAAAUGCGAUAAGUAAUGUGAAUUGCAGAAUUCAGUGAAUCAUCGAAUCUUUGAACGCACAUUGCGCCCCUUGGUAUUCCGAGGGGCAUGCCUGUUCGAGCGUCAUUAUAACCCCUCAAGCUCAGUUUGGUGUUGGGGCCUGCCGCACGGGCAGCCCUUAAAAUCAGUGGCGGUGCCAUCUGGCUCUAAGCGUAGUAAUUCUUCUCGCUAUAGAGUCCCGGUGGAUGCUUGCCAUUAACCCCCAAUUUUCUAUGGUUGACCUCGGAUCAGGUAGGGAUACCCGCUGAACUUAAGCAUAUCAAUAAGCGGAGGA